GCGCCGAUGGUUAAAUGGUAGAAUACGGCCUUGCCAAGGCUGUGACCCGGGUUCGAUUCCCGGUCGGCGCA
rnacentral:tRNA from 1 species